ACACCGUCAGGUCCAGACAUGACGGGUCAAGGCACAGUGAUGGUUUGAGACACGCCGGCAAAUCCAGAUAUGACGUGUCACGACACAGGUCCAGACAUGACAGAUCACGCCAUAGUGACGCCUCCAGGUGCAAUGACAGAUCCCGUAGUGAUGCCUCCAGGCCCCCCGCCAGGUCAAGUCAUAAUGAAAGAUCACGGCACGGUGAUCUCACCAGCCCCCCUUAUGAAAGUCCAAGGCAUGAUGCAGUGACCGAGAACGGAAGAUGGACAUUCCCAUUACCUUGGGAUGUGUACCAGAAAAAGGUUUUAAACAUGCUGGUUGACCUCCGCAAUUGCUAUAAACAAGCACAACCUGCCACUUCAGCCAUGCACAUUGAAAGGAUGGAGACCUUGGAGGAUUUCGAGAGCGAGGAGCAACGCCUCUGUGAUGCACAAGCCUUUGAUACCCUAGUGCUACAGAUUGCAAGAAUUGGAGGGAAGAACACCAAGGACUGUGUCCACAAAGUCCUUGACAGGCUCUUCACUAAUGCCCUGAUGGCGCAAUUUAAUAUGAAGGGGAAGGGGAAAAAGGGCAAGAAAUCUUUGGAGAAGACACAGCUUUAUAGAGCAAUAAAAGGUAAGCCCAUAUUUAAUGUUGACCAAGGAAAGAGAAUUAGCUCCUGCCAGUCUGUGAAUAAUGACUUGAUUGGACAAAACAUUUCCUUCCCAGUUGACAUUUAAAAUUCACUGCUAACUGUCUACCAUGGCAAUUUUAACAUUUGGUGAGGUGGUUUUG
rnacentral:lncRNA from 1 species